UUGGAGGGCAAGUCUGGUGCCAGCAGCCGCGGUAAUUCCAGCUCCAAUAGCGUAUAUUAAAGUUGUUGCAGUUAAAAAGCUCGUAGUUGAAUUUCGGGGUCAGUAGGUUGGUCAUGCCACUGGUAUGUACUGGUCUCACUGAUUCCUCCUUCCUGAUGAACUGUAAUGCCAUUAAUUUGGUGUUGCAGGGAAUCUGGACUGUUACUUUGAAAAAAUUAGAGUGUUUAAAGCAGGCUAACGCCUGAAUACAUUAGCAUGGAAUAAUGAAAUAGGACGUUCGAUCCUAUUUUGUUGGUUUCUAGGAUUGGCGUAAUGAUUAAUAGGGAUAGUUGGGGGCAUUAGUAUUCAAUUGUCAGAGGUGAAAUUCUUGGAUUUAUUGAAGACUAACUACUGCGAAAGCAUUUGCCAAGGAUGUUUUCAUUAAUCAAGAACGAAAGUUAGGGGAUCGAAGACGAUCAGAUACCGUCGUAGUCUUAACCAUAAACUAUGCCGACUAGGGAUCGGAUGAUGUUAAUUUUUUAAUGACUCAUUCGGCGCCUUACGGGAAAC
rnacentral:rRNA from 1 species